UUUAUCAAUAUUUUUGAUUGUAGGGAGGCAAACAGAAAGUUGAUAACCAACUGAAAGUUUACAUUUAUUUUGUACAUUAUGUUUAUUUUUGCAAUAAUGACCAGUUGACUGUACAUCAUCCCUUAUGUAAAUGAAUUAAAUCCUUGAAUUUUGUAUGCAGUUCUUGUCAUGUGGCUAGCCUUACCUUACCACUGCAGGAAAAGCUUGAAAGGGAGAGUGUAUGGAAUGUCAGGGGCCAGGAGGGAUUUGGUGAUGGAGGACACCAUGCAGGGGACUGAUGUUGGUUCGUUCCGGAGAGCCGAGUGGAAUGAAGGAGAGAGAGAGAGACACAGAGGAAAAGAAGGAAGAGGUGUGUCGAGGGUCAGAGCAGCGAUGGGAGGCAGGUAGAGAAAAAAAAAGAUCAGUGGAUGAAUGAUGGAGACAACUGUUUUUGAACACGCAUUUAUCCUCAGCCAUAAAAGAAGAGCACCAAAAGAGUGAGAAUAAAACCUAAUACCAUUUAUUGGAGGUGGAAGGAAUAUGGAAGCGUGCUGAAAUACCUCAGAAGGAUAAGGCAUGUCUGAAUCUAAUGACCACAUCAAGACCCUUUUUUGAGACAAUGAUCUGACCACUGAGCUUAUUUAUACUUGAUCAGUCAUUAUAAAGUGCUCUGCUCUGUCAUGCACUUCCUUUUUUAUGAGUGUUGAAGUUCUAUCCUUUUCCUUUUAUUCUUGAUAGCCUCAGGGAAACUGGCCUUUUGGAUUGGGGAGAACUGAAGAGUGUGUCUGUGCAUUGGUUAACUGUGAGCAGCUCUAUGAUUACACAGCAUCUCAUUCUAACAGACAACCAUGUCCAAGUCUGUAAUUAUAUAUUCAAUCACUGUAGAGCAGGUGUGGGACUGUAGCCAUUACACAACAACAGAAACUGUAGUUAUUUUCCCUACCUUAGUAAACUAGAUUAACUCUUCAACAUUACUAGUGACCACUGAUCUGAUGAGCUACAGUAUACAAUAGCUGCUAAUUUAUUUGAUGGAUCAAUAUGCUGCACCCUACGUGCCGCUCAGUAGCACACUGUAUUUACGGGUAAAUAAAGCCUGGAACGUCUUUAUGAAAACUGGGCUCUUUGAAAAUAAUACAAAGAAGCCCUGGUGUGUAAAAUUGGAUUUUCCAUAGAAGAUUCAAAGAGAAAUGUAUAUCAAUAUACAUGUAUGGAUGACACAU